AGCUUGUAGCGUGUAGUGAAUUGCAGGAGUUAAGAAUUAUUUUUGAGGCUGGCUACCAUACCUCCUACAGAGACUACAGGGACUUAAAAAUUUUAAGGAUGCUCAUGAUCACUAGCUAACAUUUUUAAUCAAUGCAUUGAUGAAUUAAUUAUCUUCUGUUCUUGCUCAAGAGACAUACUCUUUUGGUCUUCAUGAUUGUGUUCUUAUGCAAAUAGGCGAUGAGCUCACUCCUGGAACCACAUCAUGAGAGGUAUUUUUCUUCAACCACUGCUGAGAUAAAGUUCUACACAUAAGAACCACUCCUGGAAAAGACACAUCUCUGGGCUGACCAAAGAUCAUAAUCCAUCUCUGUGCAACAUGGAAGACAAGACACCUCUAAGAAAAAACAUGGAAUCAGUUGGGAAGAUCUACUCAUCGGUGGAAGGGCCUGAGCUGGUACACAUUGUCUCUUUUCCUCCAGCAGACUGGCUGGGCUUUGUUCCUGUGGCGGAGGCAGUCAUAAAGGUGGGGGAAAGAGAGAGAGAGAUUGAGAAGAGAAUCAAGCAGCGUCUUCCGAGGCCUAAUCUGAGAUACCAAACAGGAACUUUUAUGACAGUCUAUUGGCCAAGCAAGUCAAGGCUAGCCCACAUUCAAAGGUUUAGAAAAUAGACUCAACUUCUCAAUGGGAGGUGCUGUAAUCAUAUGACAGGGAACAUGAAUCAAUGGAGGGGUGAAGAAUUAGAGCCAUUCUUUUGCAAUGAAUUUCACACAAGGAAUAUGUACUACAUGACCAAGGUGGCCUUAAAAUUCCCCUCAGGUUUGCUAAACUUUAGACAGGCUUUUUUCCCUGCUUUUAGGCCCCUGACUGCAUUUUCCUUAGAGCAUUUACUCUUUCUCUGAUGCUUUGAAAUGUGUGUAAAUCUUCUCCCAGCCUUUUGACAGUUUUGCAAUCCAGGAAUAUCUUUCACAAGAACCAGGGAGUCAUCCAUUUGAAAUGCAAUCAUGAAGGAAGGUAGCACCCCUCUCUCCUAGACUCUGUAGGAGGGCAGAAGCCUUACCUUGAACUCCACUUAGCAAACACAGAAGGCCUCAUCCCAGAGAAAAGUGUUUGCAAUCUCAGGAAUAGCUGAGUAUAUGUGACACAUUCCACUGCUCAUAUUCCCUUCCCUAUGCCCUACAGUACUUUUAUACUCCCCAUAGCACUUAAAAUACUUCCAGCCUUUUGUUUCAGCAGAGUUGAAUUCACCCUCCUAUUUCACUAGUUUUGAUUAAAGUCUUUCUUACCUCUUUAA
rnacentral:lncRNA from 1 species